ACGUGAGCUGGGUUCAAACCGUCGUGAGACAGGUUGGUCUCUACCUGCUGUAGGCGUUAAUCCGAAAAGGAUUUAUACACAAUUGAGGGAAGUCGACCCUAGUACGAGAGGACCGGGUUGAACGAGCCGCUGGUCUGCCAGCUUUCCUACCAAGGGAACUGCUGGGUAGCUAUUGCUCGGAAAGGAUAAGUGCUGAAAGCAUCUAAGCACGAAGCCUCGCCCAAGACUAGUUGUGAGGUCCGUGGAAGACUACCACGUUGAUAGGCUCCAGAUGUAAGGCCAGUAAUGGUUUUAGUCGAGGAGUACUAAUAGACCGAUUUUUACUUAC
rnacentral:rRNA from 1 species